rnacentral:rRNA from 1 species
AGAUUGAGCGCUGGCGGCAGGCCUAACACAUGCAAGUCGAGCGGUAGAGAGGUGCUUGCAUCUCUUGAGAGCGGCGGACGGGUGAGUAAUGCCUAGGAAUCUGCCUAGUGGUGGGGGAUAACGUUACGGAAACGGACGCUAAUACCGCAUACGUCCUACGGGAGAAAGCGGGGACCUUCGGGCCUCGCGCCAUUAGAUGAGCCUAGGUCGGAUUAGCUAGUUGGUAGAGGUAAUGGCUCACCGAAGGCGACGAUCCGUAACUGGUCUAGAGAGGUAUGGAUCGAUCACACUAGGAACUGAGACCACGGUCCACGACGUCCGUACGGGAGGCAGCGAGUGGGAAUAUUGGAACAAGUGGGACGAAGCCUUAGAUCAG